rnacentral:lncRNA from 1 species
UGUCUGAUCCCUGGCAAGCCUCAUAUAUUUCUGUGACAGGCAAUUACCGGGACACCGGCACUGGGGCGCCCAUCUCGUCGGUGCUCUCUGUCUGCCACCCCCUCUGUGCUGAGCCUUCUCCCCACCCCCUUUCCUUUUCAGUGAUGGAGUUUUCUACCCCCACGCUCCCCUUUUCCCCACUCCACUGUUCUGCAGGUUAUACAAUCUAUUUCUCCUCUUUCUGUGUCACCGUCUGAUAAAACAAAGGACAUUGAUGAUGGAAGGAAAACCGCAGGGGGAUAACCAGCCCUUGCUGGCAAGGAGGGCUCACUUGAUGGUGCUGAGCCUGAGUUUACACCGAGAUGGGGAGGGACGACAGCCCUCCUGAAAGGCUGUGAAGAUGAGACGGUCGAGUGUGGCCAGACUCGGCGUCGACCAGCCUCUCCUGCCAGGAGCGCCCCCUCCACACAGUGAGGACCACGGCAGUUUCUUACGCUUCGGCUAAAGUCUGCCCUGGACUCUGAGCUGAGCUGCCCAGCCAGAGGACCAUGGUUUCCAAACAUGAGAGGCAAUGUGUCCUGUCUUCCUUCCUGGCAUGCAGUCAUGAUGGCUGGUGCUCCAGCAGCCAUCUCAGCCCAUGAGGCACUACACCAAGGAUGGCAAAGCAGGAAGGAACCACAAGAGGUGUGCUGUUCUCAGGUUCUCUUGCCGCUCACCAAGCCACAGACAAGAGUAACACGGCAGUUGGGGGACAAAAAGAAGAUCUCUAAAGCCUGCCGAGAGAAAGCUAAAUGGCUGUACGGUCAUUGUGGCCUCACAGCCGACAUCUCAACAGCAGUGAUGGCAGCUAGAGCAUCGCGGAGCAAUGGCAGUGCCGAGAAAAAAGAUGUAACUGCCAGCCCGGGAUUGUAGACGCGGCUAAAUGAUCUUUCACAAACUGGGGUGAAAUAAAGACAUUUUCAAACAGGC